rnacentral:rRNA from 1 species
UACGUAGGGUGCAAGCGUUGUCCGGAAUUAUUGGGCGUAAAGAGCUCGUAGGCGGUCUGUCGCGUCUGCUGUGAAACUCAGGGCUUAACCCUGAGCUUGCAGUGGGUACGGGCAGACUAGAGUGCGGUAGGGGAGACUGGAAUCCUGGUGUAGCGGUGAAAUGCGCAGAUAUCAGGAGGAACACCGGUGGCGAAGGCGGGUCUCUGGGCCGUAACUGACGCUGAGGAGCGAAA